rnacentral:rRNA from 1 species
CCUACGGGUGGCAGCAGUGAGGAAUAUUGGUCAAUGGGCGAGAGCCUGAACCAGCCAAGUAGCGUGAAGGAUGACGGCCCUACGGGUUGUAAACUUCUUUUAUAAAGGAAUAAAGUGAGGCACGUGUGCCUUUUUGUAUGUACUUUAUGGAUAAGGAUCGGCUAACUCCGUGCCAGCAGCCGGGGUAAUACGGAGGAUCCGAGCGUUAUCCGGAUUUAUUGGGUUUAAAGGGAGGGUAGAGGGGUUGUUAAGUCAGUUGUGAAAGUUUGCGGCUCAACCGUAAAAUUGCAAUUGAUACUGGCAGUCUUGAGUACAGUAGAGGUGGGCGGAAUUCGUGGUGUAGCGGUGAAAUGCUUAGAUAUCACGAAGAACUCCGAUUGCGAAGGCAGCUCACUGGACUGCAACUGACACUGAGGCUCGAAAGUGUGGGUAUCAAACAGGAUUAGAUACCCGUGUAGUC